AAUGCAUGCUGCAAUAUUACCCACAAGGGGGUUGGAUAUUUCACAGAAACCUGCCAUUAUUGAUCAUUAUGAUAAUUAUAAUUGAUAAUUUUUAAAAAAUGCUUUCAUUUUGCUAAGCUACAAUUUCUUACCUAAUUGGAUUUAUAUCCUUUCUUUCUCAAUAUUCUGCCCAUGAUUUGUAAUUAUCACAAUUCAUAAUUUUAAAAUUCUAUAGGAGAUUGUAUUUUCAAAAGCCUCCUGCAAGAAUAUCUGCCAUCUGACAUACUCUUUUGUAAUGUAACUCGCCACUAACCCGUGGAAAGAUGCAGUGUGCGUCUGAACUACCUUGCAUCUGUGUGGAGUCUGUGACUGCGAUGAUGCCGCAGACGUGCUGUCGUGUGACUUCUGAGGAUACAUCUUAAGGAGUCAAAUCCUAGUAUCUUCUCUUUUGACUGCUCAUCCUAGGGAAACUCUGCUUGGAACAUGGUACCCUUGCCAUGAGAGGCCCAACCCAUGUGGAGAAGUCAACUGUAGGUGCUCUGAGUCCACGGCCCCAGGAGAGUUCUGCAACGUCAGCCAGUGCCAACUGCCCGUGGUGUGAGCGCACCUGCCUGGACUGAGGCAGGCUUUGGAUGACUGAGUCUUGGCCAACCUCCAUCUGCACCUGCAUCUGAAACCUCAAAUAAGAACUGCAGCCAACCCAGAUAACUAUGAGAGAUGAUAAUAAAUUGUUCAAGUAUAAUAAAGUGCGGGAUGGUUGGUUAGCCACAACAGAUAGCUGAAACAGAUGCUUACAGUGGCCUCUAAGACAGUCCGGGAGCAUGCAUAGUUGACUCACCCUUCCCAGUGUCACCUUCUCUCACUCCCCAGUCCCACUCCCUGAACAUCGCGUUGCCCCUGAGGAAGUGGACUGAACAAUUUCAGGUAAUUUAUUGUUUAUUGCCUUUUUUCAUUUCACGUCCUCUGUCAGUAUCAUUGGAAUAAAUGAUUUCAUUUCUAACUUGCAAAUACAUAGGGGUCAACUGUACAAGCGCUCCACUGUUUCCUAACUCCCCAAUUUCCACCACAACAGUAACACCCAGAGGAAGGCAGGCUUGGUCUCCCUAGGAACAGGAUCAUGCUGCUCCACUUAGCUGUGUUCCCAGCUUGGAUGGGGAAAAAAUAAACAAACAUAAAACACCCGGGGGUCAGUGGGUGAUCCAGAAAAUACUUUUCUGACACUGCUCUCUCUGUCUUGAAACUAGAAGACAUAGAAAUUAACUUUUUCUUCUGUGUAUUCUCCCAAGAACGCUUGGCAGCCGUUUUGCUGUGGGAAGAGUAAAUGCGGAAAAUCUUUUAACAGCACACAAGCUUUAGCGCUUAUUGGAAGGUUGCUACCUUAAUAGCCUCCCCUUUUCUACUAGAAGUUCUUUCAAUGUAGCAUGAUUGUAAAUUAGAAAAGUGAAAUGAAAGAAUUCAUAUAUCUGUUUUAUCAUAAUAUAGGAAAGCUGAACAUACAGCAAUAUCCUCAAGCAAAAUGAGAAAUAAAAAUAUAUGCUUAUCUGAAUUAUGUAUUUGUUAAAAUUGAAAGCUUUUUAAAUAUGUUUUUGUUUUUAAUGGAGAAUCAAUAGUAGCUUGUGUAUACUACUCAAUAAUAACAUGGGCAAGAUUCAUGGGAUGAUCUUAAGAAGGAAUCCAGGAUUUGACAGCAAUGACUGAAC
rnacentral:lncRNA from 1 species